CCUACGGGAGGCAGCAGUAGGGAAUAUUGCUCAAUGGGGGAAACCCUGAAGCAGCAACGCCGCGUGGAGGUUGAAGGUUUUCGGAUUGUAAACUCCUUUUGUUAGAGAAGAUAAUGACUGUAUCUAACGAAUAAGCACCUGCUAACUCCGUGCCAGCAGCCGCGGUAAUACGGAGGGUGCAAGCGUUACCCGGAAUCACUGGGCGUAAAGAGCGUGUAGGCGGGAUAGCAAGUCAGAUGUGAAAUCCUAUGGCUUAACGAUAGAACUGCAUUUGAAACUGUUAUUCUGGAGUAUGGGAGAGGUAGGUGGAAUGCUUGGUGUAGGGGUAAAAUCCAUAGAGAUCAAGCGGAAUACUCAUUGCGAAGGCGACCUGCUAGAACAUGACUGACGCUGAUGCACGAAAGCGUGGGGAGCAAACAGGAUUAGAUACCCGUGUAGUC
rnacentral:rRNA from 1 species